AUUCGAACAUUUGUUUCUUUCAGCUUGGAUAAGUACGUUCAUGCCAUUGAUGGUCAUGUUCUUUCCUAGAUGGUUGAUGCACCUACAGUCCUCAUACACCUGAUUAUCAAACGGACAAGAUUAAAAAUUUAUAAAAUUUUACGGGUUCUGGUUCAGCUCCAAGAUGGCAGCAGCCUUUUCGGUACGGUUCCAGCAAAAAUAACAGUUCUUCCCGGUUCAGCUUGAUGCUCAGGACAGAACUUUGAUGGAGAUCAGUAUGUGCCGAACGGCAAAGCUGGUGCUUGUUUUCUGUCCGUGACUGGAACUAAAACUAAGACCGAAGUCUUCGGAACAUUCUGCGGUCAACAUCUACCAACACCAGAAAGAUAGAACCACUUCCUAAGCUUUAUGUACAGUCACCUUAAUAUCCAGUAGACUGCCAGCAUGAUACCAUUCUAGCAACAUAAGUUCAGUGCACACAAGGUGUGGCAAGCUUGAGCAAAAUAUGUGCUUGUGCAGUGACCAAAUUGCUCAAAUCCAUGAAAACAUCCAAUAACAAAAAAAUCACCAAGAGCAUAAAGACUGAGUGCAAUAUAUGGUGCCUGUUGUUG